rnacentral:lncRNA from 1 species
UCUGCUGACUAAUAGGAUAGCAAAAAUUAUUGAAUAAAAAAUUUUGAAUUCAAUAAAAUUUUGGCAGCAUGCAUAAUAACAACAAUUUGGAAAAUUGUGGUAAAGAUAUUUUAUUGAACAAAAACAGUGUUGAAUAUAUAAUCAGUUAAUAUGAAUCAUUGAAUGUAAAAUGAGUUUACUGAUCAAAAAUGUGACACAUUGAAUAUAGCAUGACAAUUACUGGCCAAAACUAUGAAUUACUGAAUAUAAAUUGUAUGUUAUUGAAUAUUGCAACAAUCUGGCAACCAUAUCAAUGGGCUAAUAUAUAAUAAAUUAUAAAAUUGAUUAAUGAAGACAACAAUAUUUACUCUUGUCUUCAACUUUAUAUCCACAGUUGAUUACGAUAGCAAAAUGAGCAGCUACAACAGUUCAAGAGAGAAAAAUAUGAACCCUGUAGAUGGACUGCCUGGUUUACCAUCAGACUUCUUUGAUAGUCCCUCAAAUUCUCAGCCAGAUGCUAAAAAGAUUAUACCCAGGUAUGUAGUAAUUACAUUACCUUGACCCACAACCUAACAACACUCCACAUCAGCUCAAUACAUGUAUUGUACCUCACACUGUACAUGCAUCUUUCUUCUGCAGUUCAAAUAUAUGAUAAUUUUAUUUUCUUCAAACAUUUACAGUACUCUUGCACUGAAGGGCUAUCCUAUAUAAAUAUUUGUUGUUA